rnacentral:rRNA from 1 species
UACGUAGGGCGCAAGCGUUAUCCGGAAUUAUUGGGCGUAAAGCGCACGUAGGCGGAUUGUUUAAGUCAGGGGUGAAAUCCUGGAAGCUCAACUCCAGAACUGCCUUUGAUACUGAGGAUCUUGAGUUCGGGGAGAGGUGAGUGGGAACUGCGAGUGUAGAGGUGAAAUUCGUAGAUAUUCGCAAGAACACCAGUGGCGAAGGCGGCUCACUGGCCCGAUACUGACGCUGAGGUGCGAAAGCGUGGGGAGCAAACAGGG